rnacentral:rRNA from 1 species
AGCGAACGCUGGCGGCAGGCCUAACACAUGCAAGUCGAACGAACCUUUCGGGGUUAGUGGCGGACGGGUGAGUAACACGUGGGAACGUGCCUUUAGGUUCGGAAUAACUCAGGGAAACUUGUGCUAAUACCGAAUGUGCCCUUCGGGGGAAAGAUUAAUCGCCUUUAGAGCGGCCCGCGUCUGAUUAGCUAGUUGGUUGAGGUAAUGGCUCACCAAGGCGACGAUCAGUAGAUGGUCUGAGAGGAUGAUCAGCCACAUUGGGACUGAGACACGGCCCAAACUCCUACGGGAGGCAGCAGUGGGGAAUCUUGCGCAAUGGGCGAAAGCCUGACGCAGCCAUGCCGCGUGAAUGAUGAAGGUCUUAGGAUUGUAAAAUUCUUUCACCGGGGACGAUAAUGACGGUACCCGGAGAAGAAGCCCCGGCUAACUUCGUG